GAAGAUAGAUUGAAGAAUAUAAAAUGAAAGACAAAUAAAGCAGAAGAGAGGGAACAUCAUCCAAUUCACACAUACCAUAACACACCACCAUGAAUCAUGUCUCUUCGUCUCCUUAAAUAAUGCGCCUGUAAUCUAUACACAUACACGUCUACAAAGCUUAGUAUUUGUAUUUGUCUGCUCUUGCCAAGUUUUGCCUCUCGCUAUCAGGUCCACCACCACCAUCACCGCUUUCUGUCCUUCUCCUUCUCCUUCUCCCUCUCCUCCUUCUUCUUGUUCACUAUGGAUUCAUCACGUAGCUAGACGAUUUGGGUUUCUGUGUUUUUCGAAAUGUGUGCUCUGCUCUUCCCAUGAUUCAGGCACCAACAUAUCUGCUUUAUCUUUUCUCCGUAACAGCUCUUUCUCUCGCAAUUCCAACAAAACCCAGAAAAAGUUUGGCUAUUUUCCUCCACCCACCACCCCCCACCCCCCUCCCACCUUUCAGUGCCUGGUUUAGGCCCGCAGAGGGAGAGAAGGAAAAGUGUGUAAAUGACUAGAAAGGGGAGGGACAAGCAUGUGAAAGGCAGAGGAUAGAACCCAAGGAAGCAUAUUUACGAUCCGUCUCGAUUGCAUGUACGGAAGGCAAAGACAAGUGUCCUGCAAAAUGACUAAAUAUUGUUAUGUGUAUGCACACACGCUAGUUCUCUUGAUUUCGUCUCUCAAUUGAUUCUAAGUUCCAAAAGCUCCCUUCCUUUUCACCGCCAUCCUUAUAGAAGAAUAUUGACAGAAGCUAAAUAAUUAAAAAAAAAAAAGUUUCUCAUCCCCUUUAUAUCUGUUUCACCAUGAUGACACCAUCCUCUAUCAUUCUCUCCCUCUCUCAUUUAUUCUCUUGUUUUUGUUAUCAAGUGUUGGUUGCUGGUGCCUCCACAGGCACCACAUAUCUUCCAUCUUCUGCACCACGUGUUCUAACGGCUAUUUAAAGCCCAUAACCAUGUUUGCAUUAUAAUUCACCAUUGUUGCUCAGCAAUCUCAUAUUUUUCCUUGCUGGGUUGUUCUUUUUCUUUCUCUUCUUGUUAGAGUUUAAUUUCUUUUAAUGGGUUGUUCUUGUCUCUGUUUUUAAAACUGAAUCCCAAGUUAAAAUUUCCUUAAAUUUUACCACCAAGACUCUCUUUAUCUAUUUGUUUCUCAUUUCCUGAAUUUGGUUGUUCUUGGUGGUGAAUUUGAAAAAUUUUUCAUCCCCCAUGGCUUUAAUUGUUCGAUUUCGAAAGCUAUGCUUUGUGGAGCCUGUGAGGUUCCAGUCGUAUGAAUCCCAAAAAUGCGAGAAGAAAGAAGAAAUUGUUGCCCCACCUACCAAAAAUGGCUUAGAAAUCAACAACAAAAAGACUAAAAGAGGGCCCAGAGAAUUGAGUUGCAUAGACUACUGUUGUUGGAUGAUUGGGUAUAUGUGCACUAUUUGGUGGCUUCUGUUUUUCUUGUAUCACUGUUUGCCGGCCACAUUGCUUGGCUUUCAGGUCCCUGAAUCACCUGGAACAAGACUUAAACGUGAAGGCUUGAUUGCUCAGCAUCCAGUGGUUUUGGUACCUGGCUUUGUUACUGGAGGCCUGGAGCUCUGGGAGGGCAAGCCUUGUGCAGAAGGUCUUUUUCGAAAGCGACUUUGGGGUGGUACCUUCUCCGAGAUGUUCAAAAGGUUUGCUUUGGAAUUAUAUCACUCUUUCUUUAAUCAAUUUCUGAUGUUUUAAUAUUUAAUUAUAGAUAUGAUAAACUACACUAAAAUUGUUCUGGAAUUUAACUCAUUCUGCCUCAGCAGAUUGGUACUGUCUAAGCAUGAUUGAAUCACUUUUUUUUUUCCAGUCAAUUUGUGUUCCAUUUUGGAUUGGAUGUCAACUUUGAUGGGAAUUAUAUUAAAGUUUCGGUGUUGGCCUGUAUUCAUCGUAAAGAGACCAUCUUAGGAUGGUUGAAGUCCAUUUUUUAUUCAAUUUCAAGCGUUAGAAUUUGAAUUUUACUUAUGAAAUUGUAUGGAAAUUUGUUGGAUCAUCUGUCUUCACUUUAUGAAAUUGUCGUCGAAGGAUUUUAACAAAAUUUCCCCCUCUGUUCAUGAGUUGACACUUUGAUCGGAUUAAAUGAGCUCAUAUGCAAGCUGCGUUGGAAUGUCUAGGCCACUUUGUUGGUUGGACCACUUGAUUUUGCACAAUGAGACUGGUCUUGACCCGCCUGGUGUUCGAGUCCGUGCUGUCCCUGGACUGGCUGCAGCUGACUAUUUUGCUUCAGGGUACUUUGUUUGGGCUGUUCUCGUUGAGAAUUUGGCAAAAAUUGGUUAUGAAGGGAAGAAUCUCUUCAUGGCAGCCUAUGAUUGGAGGCUCUCUUUUCAGAAUACAGAGAUUCGGGACCAGGCUCUUAGUAAAUUGAAGAGUGUAAUAGAGCUUAUGUAUGUAACAAAUGGUUAUAAGAAAGUGGUAGCGGUUCCCCAUUCCAUGGGUGCUAUGUAUUUUCUACACUUCCUUAAAUGGAUUGAAAUGCCUCCUCCAAUGGGAGGUGGUAGUGGUCCAGGUUGGUGCAGCAAGCACAUAAAAGCAAUCAUGAACAUUGGUACAACAUUUUUUGGUUCUCCAAAGAUGGUUACUAGUAUACUCACUACAGAGGGCAAAGACGUUGCAUGGUUCAGAGCAUGUCCUUCGGUUAUCUCGAACAUGGGAUUCAACCAUUUCAUUGCUGCCUAAAGGAGGAGAGAAUAUCUGGAGUAACCUGGAUUGGUUUCCUUAAGAAGGGCAAGUUUGUGUUUUGUCAAAUAAUAUAUCCUUGCAAAACUCUGUAAUGAUAACAGCAGUGAUGUGAAGGAGUCAAAUAAGUACGGAAUGAUAGUUUCUUUUAGCAAGUCAGCUUCACAAUUACCAUCCUCAGAGCUUCCCUCUCCUGACACAAAGGUACUUUUCUAUUAUGUUGCUGCCUCAAACCUUUAAUGUUGAUUUGCCUAGUAACAUAUCUUGUUUUGUGUAGUACCACCAAAGGCUCAGUGCUGGAUCCAGAGUCCACCAGUUAUCUUGAUUUUCUUGAGAAAACCUACAAGGACAAAACUGUUUUAUGAAAUUUUAAUUUGGCAGAACUGUGGAAUGGUUGCACUGAUUGAGACUGAGAAAAAAACAAGAUUUCCGGUUGCAGUUUCCUUCGAGAUUUUGUAAGAAAAAAACAUAAUAAUCCUCUCCAUGGACAAAGGAAUAAAAAUGCUUCCUGUAUUUGAUUCAUCGAUUGGAAAGUUUUAAGUUCAUAGAUUGCCAACUAAACUAAUUUUUUUAAUAAGCCAUGCUUAAUGCCAGGGCAAUACUCAUAUUUUAUUUUAUGUAGAUUUCUAGUGUAAUGUUCUUUUGUUUUACAUAACAGGGAUGAUGACAAAGAUAUGUCAACAGGAAUUUUUUGGUUCGCAUACCAACAAGAAUUCAGAGUCCUCAUGCGGUGAGGUUUGGACUGAAUACGAUGUGAUAAACAGGGAAA
rnacentral:misc_RNA from 1 species